rnacentral:rRNA from 1 species
AUGAACGCUAGCUACAGGCUUAACACAUGCAAGUCGAGGGGCAGCAUGGUCUUAGCUUGCUAAGGCCGAUGGCGACCGGCGCACGGGUGAGUAACACGUAUCCAACCUGCCGUCUACUCUUGGACAGCCUUCUGAAAGGAAGAUUAAUACAAGAUGGCAUCAUGAGUCCGCAUGUUCACAUGAUUAAAGGUAUUCCGGUAGACGAUGGGGAUGCGUUCCAUUAGAUAGUAGGCGGGGUAACGGCCCACCUAGUCUUCGAUGGAUAGGGGUUCUGAGAGGAAGGUCCCCCACAUUGGAACUGAGACACGGUCCAAACUCCUACGGGAGGCAGCAGUGAGGAAUAUUGGUCAAUGGGCGAGAGCCUGAACCAGCCAAGUAGCGUGAAGGAUGACUGCCCUAUGGGUUGUAAACUUCUUUUAUAAAGGAAUAAAGUCGGGUAUGGAUACCCGUUUGCAUGUACUUUAUGAAUAAGGAUCGGCUAACUCCGUGCCAGCAGCCGCGGUAAUACGGAGGAUCCGAGCGUUAUCCGGAUUUAUUGGGUUUAAAGGGAGCGUAGAUGGAUAUUUAAGUCAGUUGUGAAAGUUUGCGGCUCAACCGUAAAAUUGCAGUUGAUACUGGAUAUCUUGAGUGCAGUUGAGGCAGGCGGAAUUCGUGGUGUAGCGGUGAAAUGCUUAGAUAUCACGAAGAACUCCGAUUGCGAAGGCAGCCUGCUAAGCUGCAACUGACAUUGAGGCUCGAAAGUGUGGGUAUCAAACAGGAUUAGAUACCCUGGUAGUCCACACGGUAAACGAUGAAUACUCGCUGUUUGCGAUAUACUGCAAGCGGCCAAGCGAAAGCGUUAAGUAUUCCACCUGGGGAGUACGCCGGCAACGGUGAAACUCAAAGGAAUUGACGGGGGCCCGCACAAGCGGAGGAACAUGUGGUUUAAUUCGAUGAUACGCGAGGAACCUUACCCGGGCUUAAAUUGCAGAUGAAUUACGGUGAAAGCCGUAAGCCGCAAGGCAUCUGUGAAGGUGCUGCAUGGUUGUCGUCAGCUCGUGUCGUGAGAUGUUGGGUUAAGUCCCGCAACGAGCGCAACCCUUGUUGUCAGUUACUAACAGGUUCCGCUGAGGACUCUGACAAGACUGCCAUCGUAAGAUGUGAGGAAGGUGGGGAUGACGUCAAAUCAGCACGGCCCUUACGUCCGGGGCUACACACGUGUUACAAUGGGGGGUACAGAGGGCCGCUACCACGCGAGUGGAUGCCAAUCCCCAAAACCUCUCUCAGUUCGGACUGGAGUCUGCAACCCGACUCCACGAAGCUGGAUUCGCUAGUAAUCGCGCAUCAGCCACGGCGCGGUGAAUACGUUCCCGGGCCUUGUACACACCGCCCGUCAAGCCAUGGGAGCCGGGGGUACCUGAAGUGCGUAACCGCGAGGAGCGCCCUAGGGUAAAACUGGUGACUGGGGCU